rnacentral:lncRNA from 1 species
UCUGAGCAUCACCCCAGUCCCCAAUACACAUAAUUUACAAAUAAAAAUAUAAUCUUUUUUAAAAAAUAUUUAUUUAUUUAUGUUAUGUAUAUGAGUACACUGUAGCUGUCUUCAGACACAUCAGAAGAGGGUGUCAGAUCACAUUGCAGAUGAUUGUGAACCACCACGUGGUUGCUGAGAAUUGAACUCACGACCUUUAAGAAGAGUAGCCAGUGCUCUUAAUCACUGAGCCAUCUCACCAGCCCCAAAAAUAAAUCUUAAAAAAUAAGAGAGGCAGAGGCAAGUAGAUCUCCAAGAGUUCAAGGUUAGCUUGAUCUGCUAACAAGUUCCAUGCUGGCCAGGGAUACAUAAUGAGACUCUGUUUCAAAAAACAACAGCAACAAAACCCUUUUAACCUUAUUAUCCUCUCCUGGAGCAUCCCCUUUGUUUACUGCUCUAGUUGGCCCAUGAGCCUGGGAGGGACUGACCAAACACGAGUGCAGUAGCCAGCUUUAUUCAGAGCAUCAGGCAAUUUAUACUCUGAGGGUUAAGAGGAGUCACAGGAGUAAGGUGUUAGUUAGAUCACAAGGACAAGCCACACAUGGCAAAAACAUAGUUUUCCAUAGAGGCAUAUGAAUAACAACAGCUAAAGCAAACUCAUUCCUAUCUGCUACCUGUCUGGUAGAAACACAAAAACACAUUCCAAGAAUAAUUCUCUUUUGAAGGUCUGAGGUCACAAGACUUUUGUCUUGUUUUCUUGGAGUUGUCUCACAAGCACUCAGAAUUCUCACAUUACUCCAUUUUCAGACUGUGUUCCUUCUUCCAAAUUAGCACCCCUUUUAUUUUAUUUUUUAAAGACCUAUUAAUAGAUAUUUAAAUAAUUUAUAAAUUAGUAAAUUUAAUAAUUAAUGUGUAUGAGUGCAUGUAUGUAUAUGCAUGUGCCUAGUGCCUACAGAGGUCAGAAGAGGGUAUCAGGUCCCCUGGAACUGGAAUAGUUACAUAGUUGUGAGCCACCAUGUAGGUGCUGGAAACCAAACCUGGGUCUUUUAAAAAAACAGCAGGUGCUCUUAACUAUUGAGCCAUUACUCCAACUGUUUCCACACCAUAUUGCUGUUGUCAUGAUGCUAUCUAGAACACAGGGCUGUAAGAUAGUAACUUUACUCUGCCCAGAUAAUUAGAAGUGGAAUUUAUCACUUAAUAUGUUGUUUUUUUCUUAAUAUGCUGUUAUAUGAUAGGUAUUGAAUGCAAAAUAUAUGUGAUUUGAGGAGAUAAUAAGAAAUAUGCAGUAAUUUGAAGAAAUUCAAUUAUGCAAAAUAUUUGUCUUACAACUAGUUG